AAUUGAAGCAGAGGACAGUGGCGGACGGGUGAGUAACGCGUGAGGAACCUGCCUUUCAGAGGGGGACAACAGUUGGAAACGACUGCUAAUACCGCAUGACACAUCGGGGUCGGCAUGGCUCUGAUGUCAAAGAUUUAUCGCUGAAAGAUGGCCUCGCGUCUGAUUAGCUAGUUGGUGAGGUAACGGCCCACCAAGGCGACGAUCAGUAGCCGGACUGAGAGGUUGACCGGCCACAUUGGGACUGAGAUACGGCCCAGACUCC
rnacentral:rRNA from 1 species